AAUCCCAGGGCCGGCUCUGCCCUAUAGUAGAUUAGCUGGGUCAGAUCUAACACUUACAAGCGAGGUAUCUGAUAGUAUGUUCUUGCUUAUGUGAACCUGGGAAGAAGUUCUCAGAUACUAUGGAGUUUCCUACCUAAUUGAUUUUUUCCUGUGUUUUUCUUUGAAGUUUGCAGGUAUUUGAGCAAUUAUGGUUCCAGGGUAGUGGUAAAAAAUUCUGGUGAGGAAGAAAAAACAAGGAAAAGACAGUGGUUAUGCAAAGGGAUAAUGCCAUUAGCCAGCAAAGGAUUUCUACCCACCCUGAAAAUAUUGGCAGCUUGCAUGGUUUGGUGAGAAAAAUAUGAGCAGCAUUGGGUAUGGAAGGAUGCUAUUCACAUAGAUAUUUCAAAGAUAACUUGGAUGUAGUGCAGCCGUGAGGAAAUUGAUGUAGAUAGGAACUUACUAGGAAUUUUGUAUUUGGUAUCAUUCAAACAGCACUUUGGUCAAUAAUAUAUAAUUUUGGUUGGUAUAUGGCAUUCAUAGAUCAUUGGUUGCCAAUAUUUUUUUUUUUUGGGUUUCAUAUGGAAGUUUUGAGGACGUUUUUUCAUAUAUGUCGACACUUUUUAGAUGUCCUCUAAUACAUACAAGGACAUCUUUUUUAGAUUUAAGGACACUUAUCUAGUGUCAUAGUAAACAUUAGAGGACA